UAAUUAUAUUAUUCCUAAUAGGCAAAACUUGCCCGAUACAAUACAAUAUGCGAAAUUACGGAGUAGAUGUUAAAAAACCCUAGCCGUCUAACUUCACUUUUCUUAUUUUCCUCUCCUCCUCUCUCUCUCCUCAAUUGACUCUUUCUCUCUCUUCUCAUACGAUUUAGCUUUCUCUCUCUUCUCAUUCUUACAAUGGAAAGUUGGAAACUGAGCUGUUUUGGGUCAAAACAUGCUAUAAUGUCGUCUAGGAAGGGAAUGUUGCCCCUCAAACUUCCAAGUUAAAUUGAUUUUAAAGUUGAAUAGAGAUGAAGCUAUCAAAGAGGAUGAAGAGAAAAGUGUAGCCUUCAAAGCAGCAAAGUACGUAGCAGUAUUUCUGGAAAUACGAAAAGAAUUAGUGUUGAGGGUGAGGAAGAAAAAAUUACUAGAUCUGGAUUUUGUUCUAUGAAUUAUAUUUGUGAUUGUUGAAUUUUUAAGAUCAUAGAUCAUAAAAUAAUGGUACAAUUUGAUCUUUAUAAGUGUUGGCCUUAUUGAUUUCAGCUUGUUUGUGACAGGUAUUUCUCGUGAUUCUUUGUUCAAAAUGUGUGCCGCUAGUGCCAAGAACAACUGAAGAAGGUUCGGAGGUAGAAGCAUAAGUGCGUGCUGAUGGUGGUGUGAUGUUGGGUUGCAGGUUAUAAGCACAUGGGGUGUUCAAAACAAAAUUGACUUCCUUUCACUAUCAUAUACUCGUCAUGCAGAACAUGUUCGCCAAGUAUUAGGCACGUGAGCUGCUGCAAGUUUAGGUGAUCUUAGAUAUUUGCAAAGAUUGAAAACGUUGAGGCUGAAAAGGUAUUCAAUCAAGAUCAGUACUUCAAGAAAGCUGUCAAGUAUGUGGGAGAGCCAAUGUAUUACGCUUGUAGGUGCAUGUUGCCUUGAAGGUAAUGGUAUCUGUGAUCAUCUGUUUCACUUGUAUUACGCUUAUCAUUGCUUCGUUUUUUAUCUUUUGUUUUGAUUUGAUGAAUUUGUUCAGUUUGAUUUGAAAUUGGAUCUGGUUUAUGAUUUCUUUAUAUAUGUUUUUGGAUUGAUUUCUAUUUUGUUCUUCAAUUUUUUAUGUUUUCGGUUUAGAUCGACGCUAGAAUCCUGGUUCUGUUGUGUUUAGUUGCAAAAUAUUUGCUAUUUUUUUGUUAUUAAAUCGUCAUAAAUGUUAGGUUAUUAGAUGUUUGUAGUUGUACUUUGUUGUUGUGAUUUGCUGCUGUUUUAAUGGAACUUUUUUUAUAGUACUGUUUUUUUGCGAUUUUUUAAGCUUAUUUUGCCUCAAAUUGCUUACAUCUAUGCAUCUGAAUAUCUACGAAUUUUACGUUAGAUUUUGGUUGAUCUUAUGCUUUAGAUUCAUUUUCAAUGAUUACAAUAAGCCUAUUAAAUGUUUUUUUAAAAUUUUGUUUGCGAAGCUUCUUGCAGUUUGUUGAUUUUGUUUUGUUUGCAUUAGAGAUUCGUAUUUCAGAUGCUAAAAACAGAAUUCUGGUGUUCUAUUAUGGAAUCUUGAAUUAUGUAAGGUUUGAAGUUGUUCUGUGUUGAUUUGGGAUGAUUUGAGGCCUCAUUAUUGCCACUUACACACAUGUCCAGUGUUAUUUGAAUUUUCCUUAUUAUGCUAGCAGGUUAACCACCGAGUCUUUUUAGUAACUUAGUGGCCCUUUCUUUAGGUUUUUGUUUUUGUAGGAGCAACAGGUGCCUAUUUGUUAUUCAUGUUAUUAGUAACUCAGUGUAACCCAUUAUGUAUGGUUGUGAAUAUAUGAAUGAGUGUGGAGGAAAAAAGAAGCAUUUUGCUAUUUUUUGGCUUUUUAUAUUUUGAAAUUGAAAAGUACAGGCUUAAUCUUGUGCCAUCUUAUAAAAAUAGAUGGGCCAUGACGUUGAGACGGGGAGGUGGGGAUUAGUAGCUAAGUGAACCAAGGGUAUUUUUUUCUCAUUAUAGUGAUUAGUGCUCAUUUAAUCAUCAAAUGAGUAAACCGGGUGUAUAUAUAUAUAAGAGUUUAAAGGGACUGAUUAUUGAUAAUGCGGCUUGAAUCACUGUUUGAUUCUCAUCCAUGUCAUGAAGUCUACAUGCAUGCUUUAAAUGGUCAUUUCAAGCAAUUUUAAUUGAUAGAAUGAUCUUUCCCAUCACAUUGUUUGGAUUAGUUGGAUAUUGAUCCUAUUUAGAAGAAGAUUGUUGUUUUUUAUUUUUCACUAUUAUCUUAGUACAGUCCAAUAGGAGAACAACUUUCAUCUUGCAAGGAGGUAUCAUUAUAUCUACAAUCUUAUUUUGGGAUAAAUGAUGUUAAACUUGUGAGGGACAUUAGGGUUGAAUCUCAGCAUGAUCUCUAAGGAAUGGCAACUCCAUGAUGGACCUUUCAAAUUCACCUCUACGGCUCUACAUGUUUACCUAUUGAACAUGAGAUGGAUUCUUUACUUUUGGGCAUUGAGAAUCUACCAGAUGUUCAGAGUAUUAUUCAUAUAGUAGCUUUUGACUCAUGUUAGGGAGUUGUUGUAAAUUCAAUUUGGACAUUUGUUAAAGUUUGUAUCUUUGAUUUUAUAAUUAAUUAAAUUUUACAUUUAUUAUUAUUAAA